ACAAGGUCUCCGUUGGUGAACCAGCGGAGGGAUCAUUAAAGAGUUUACACAACUCCUAAACCCAUGUGAACUUACCUUUUGUUGCCUCGGCAGGUCGCGUCUACCCUGUGAGACCCUACCCUGUAGGUUCUUACCCGGUGGACGCGGGCUCCCCUGCCGGCGGCCCAUUAAAUUCUGUUUAUCAUAUUAUUUCUGAAUCUAUAACUCAAUAAGUUAAAACUUUCAACAACGGAUCUCUUGGUUCUGGCAUCGAUGAAGAACGCAGCGAAAUGCGAUAAGUAAUGUGAAUUGCAGAAUUCAGUGAAUCAUCGAAUCUUUGAACGCACAUUGCGCCCAUUAGUAUUCUAGUGGGCAUGCCUGUUCGAGCGUCAUUUCAACCCUUAAGCCUCUGUUGCUUAGUGUUGGGAGCCUACAGCCCUCUGUAGCUCCCCAAAGUUAGUGGCGGAGUCGGUUCACACUCUAGACGUAGUAAAUUUUUAUCUCGCCUAUAGAUGAGCCGGCGCCUUGCCGUAAAACCCCUAAUCUUUUACAAGGUUGACCUCGGAUCAGGUAGGAAUACCCGCUGAACUUAAGCAUAU
rnacentral:rRNA from 1 species